UCACUGAAUUAGAAAUUCAGGUAGUCCAGUGCCUAAGUGUAGUGAGUUGCUUGCAAGUCACCGUGGCGGUCUCAGAUCGGAGGGACAGUUAUACCCAUAUCCCAUCGGAGCAAAUCUUGACAGCAGAAAUAGCUCCAGAGUCGGUCACGUUCAGUGCAGAUGUACCCUUACAUCUCACCUGUAUACCAUACCAGUGUCUCCACACUCCUUGGUUAAGAAGACAACCAAUCUAUAUGGCACACAAUAACCUAUGCUUGAUAAACGUUGUUGUCCUUGGUAACAACGUAUCAUUUGGUUGCGAAC
rnacentral:lncRNA from 1 species